CGCGCCCGUUGGGCACUGGGGGACGCGGGCGCGUCAGGUGAAGACUGGGGGCUGCAGGCGCGCUAGGAGAACUAUGCCAUUUUUGGGUCAGGACUGGAGAUCUCCUGGAUGGAGUUGGAUUAAGACAGAAGAUGGCUGGAAGAAUUGUGAAUCUUGUAGUCAGAAACUUGAAAGAGAGAAUAACCAUUGUAACAUCAGUCACAGCAUUAUCUUAAAUAGCGAAGAUGGAGAAAUACUCAAUAAUGAAGAGCAUGAAUAUGCAUCCAAAAAAAGAAAAAGGACCAUUUUAGAAAUGACACAAAUACUCAAAGUUUUUAUCAUGAAAAAUGGAUCUAUGUCCAUAAAGAAAGCACAAAAGAAAGGCAUGGCUAUUGCACCUUGGGAGAAACCUUUAAUCGGUUAGACUUCUCAAGUGCAAUUCAAGAUACCCGAAGGUUCAAUUAUGUGGUCAAACUGCAGGACAAAUUCGAGCAUCUUAAAAUGAUUCAACAGGAGGAGAUAAGGAAGCUCGAGGAAGAGAACCAAACCAAUGCAGACCAAACCAAUGCAGAACUCCUAUGUGCUGAUGGUGGUCUUACAUUUCCCUAAGUUUCUGCCGACUAAACUGUGCACACGUUCUCAGGACCUCCUGAAGCUGCGUCACAGGCACUAAUCAAAGAACACAACCAAG
rnacentral:lncRNA from 1 species